UACGAGGGGGGCAAGCGUUGUCCGGAAUUAUUGGGCGUAAAGAGCUCGUAGGCGGUCUGUCGCGUCGGCUGUGAAAACUCGGGGCUCAACUCCGAGCUUGCAGUCGAUACGGGCAGGCUAGAGUUCGGCAGGGGAGACUGGAAUUCCUGGUGUAGCGGUGAAAUGCGCAGAUAUCAGGAGGAACACCGGUGGCGAAGGCGGGUCUCUGGGCCGAUACUGACGCUGAGGAGCGAAAGCGUGGGGAGCGAACAGG
rnacentral:rRNA from 1 species